rnacentral:rRNA from 1 species
UACAGAGGGUGCGAGCGUUAAUCGGAAUUACUGGGCGUAAAGGGUGCGUAGGUGGUUUGAUAAGUUAGGUGUGAAAGUCCCGGGCUUAACCUGGGGAUUGCGCCUGAUACUGUCAGGCUAGAGUACUGUAGAGGGAAGUGGAAUUUCCGGUGUAGCGGUGAAAUGCGUAGAUAUCGGAAGGAACACCAGUGGCGAAGGCGACUUCCUGGACAGAUACUGACACUGAGGCACGAAAGCGUGGGGAGCAAACAGG